rnacentral:rRNA from 1 species
CCCUUAGAUGUUCUGGGCCGCACACGCGCUACACUGAAGGAGGCAGCGUGUACUCCUGGAUCGAAAGAUUUGGGUAACCCGCGAAUCUCCUUCGUGCUAGGGAUUGAGGUUUGCAAUUAUCCUUCAUGAACGAGGAAUUCCCAGUAAGUGCAAGUCAUAAGCUUGCGCUGACUACGUCCCUGCCCUUUGUACACACCGCCCGUCGCUACUACCGAUUGAAUGAUUUAGUUAGGACUUCGGACUGGGACCGAUGCGGCUUUCGGGCUGCGUCGGUAUUCUGGAAAGAUGUCCAAACUGUAUCAUUUAGAGGAAGUAAAAGUCGUAACA